UUUAAAGGCUGGCAGUGAAAGUGAGAGUACCUUAGUGGAGAUUCCUGUGUUCCUGAGGUCUUCUGAAGAUCUGGUGAGGGAUUUAGUAGCACAGAGUACUUCGGUUACCUUCACCGCUGACUGACCGUGUUCACGAGUUUGCAGGAUGGACGUCAGGCUGAGCUUUCUCUCCCUCUUAGCACCAGACAGAAGAGAUUGUCUCCCAGCAGUCAGGAAGGAGAUUAAUGCACAUUCAACGCAAGCAUCCUGGGGGUCUUCUCCUGAAGAUUUUGACAGGGCAUGGGAUGGAUUUUCCUCCUGCUGCUAGACAGAGACCUAGGUUUAAGGAAAAAAAAAUAAAAAUGGACACUUUAUCUCAAUUCUAUUUUGCAAAAAAAUGCUUUCAAGGAUCAUUCUUUACUCUUCCUCACACCAAAAAAUACAAGAAACCUCCAAAUCUGACCCAAGAAUACAUCUUUAUACCUGGUCCACUAAGGCCUGAGUUACUUGGGCUUGCACCACAUCCAGCCUCCCCACCAGCAGCCUGACUGCAAUGCCCUGGUCCAGCUGCCUUUGCAAGGAGUGAAGGCUCCACACAGAAGCACAGAGAAUGUGAAGAGAGAAUCAUAGUCAUAGUAUAUCCUGAGUUGGAAGGGCGCCAUUGAGGAUUAUCGAGUCCAACUCCUGGCUGCACACAGGACCACCAUGACUGAGAACAUUGCCCAGACGCUUCUUGAACUCCUGCAACCUUGGUGCAGUGACCACUGCCGUGGGAAGCCUGUUCCGUGCUCCACCACCCUCUGGUGAAGAGCCUUUCUUUAUCGAACCUGAAAGAAGGAAUCACGACUGAAGCAUCUUGCAGGUGAAGGAGUGGCAGUGAGAAGAAAGGCUGGUUAUCUUUGUGAGAAAUUCCUGGGCAUAUUCCAGCAACUGAAGUUCAAAGAAAAUGACAUUAUUUGUGAAAGCUUUGAAAAUAUUCAUUGGAAGUUACAAAAAAACUGCUACUCAAAUUCCAGGGCUUUCCCUCCAUUAAUUGGAAUGCAAAACAGGUUUCACCUGUCCUGAUUUUUCCACCAUUUUUACCUGUUAGCAGAAGAACAUCCUCCAUGGAAUAAUAUUCAACAUAUCCACAACCAAAGAAGAGUUGAAACUUUGGGAUUUAUUUCAUAAAUAUUAAUAUUUACAUAUCUAAUAUAAUUCCUUUUUACAGAGUUUAUAUUCAGGUGUCUGAAAAACAGAAACAUUCUGAGGCAGAAAAGCACCGCUGUUUCCUUUUCGUAUCAGUCUGAUAUGGGACUGCGCUGUGUUCCCAUGGGAUGAAAGCUCCCAACUUCCACCACGUUCAGCAGAAACCACAGCGUCUUCUGCCAAAAUUAGAAACCAUUCCAUGGGUUGGGUGUGUGGUGAGGUGGGGUGGUACAGAGGUCUGCAGGAUAAUGGCUGGUGACAUGCAGCUGUUCAAGAUGCUGAAAUAAAAGGGU
ensembl:lncRNA